rnacentral:rRNA from 1 species
AAUAGUGAACGUUACCAAACUGUUGCCUCGGCGGGGUCACGCCCCGGGUGCGUAAAAGCCCCGGAACCAGGCGCCCGCCGGAGGAACCAACCAAACUCUUUCUGUAGUCCCCUCGCGGACGUAUUUCUUACAGCUCUGAGCAAAAAUUCAAAAUGAAUCAAAACUUUCAACAACGGAUCUCUUGGUUCUGGCAUCGAUGAAGAACGCAGCGAAAUGCGAUAAGUAAUGUGAAUUGCAGAAUUCAGUGAAUCAUCGAAUCUUUGAACGCACAUUGCGCCCGCCAGUAUUCUGGCGGGCAUGCCUGUCCGAGCGUCAUUUCAACCCUCGAACCCCUCCGGGGGAUCGGCGUUGGGGAUCGGGACCCCUCACCGGGUGCCGGCCCUGAAAUACAGUGGCGGUCUCGCCGCAGCCUCUCCUGCGCAGUAGUUUGCACAACUCGCACCGGGAGCGCGGCGCGUCCACGUCCGUAAAACACCCAACUUCUGAAAUGUUGACCUCGGAUCAGGUAGGAAUACCCGCUGAACUUAAGCAUAUCAAUAAGCGGAGGAAAAGAAACCAACC